UACAUGAAACAAACAUGAAAACACAACCUUAGAAAUUACCAAAAAACACCCGCGAAAAUCAUCUGUCACUUUAUUGUUUAUUUCUCAUUGAAACAAAACAUAAUAAUAAAAUCACAGUGAAUUGUUUAAAUAUUUGAUUUUUAUUGCUUGAUAUUUUUAAAAAAUAUUUUUAUUAUAAUUACUUGUAUGUUGAAAAGUGGUUGAAAAUUAUUUUCUUACUGUUGUUAUUAGUGAUUUAGAGGUUAGAAUAUAAUAUAAGUUUGAUAAUUAUUUACAAUCAAAUUUUCGUGCAAUUUUAUUAAUAAUAACAAUUGAGAUAAACAUAUAAUUAACUUUAUUAUAUCUAUCAAAAAUAUAAAAACGUUUUUUUAAAAAAAAAGAAUCACAUGUUGAUUUCUAAAGGUCUGACUAUUCAUAUGUCACACUACUGACUAUUCUACUUCGAAGCAAUGACUUUGUUAUUAUAAAUAAUUGUAAAAUCUCAUCAAUUUUUUUGAUUUCAUAAAAUCCUGAGAAGAUGAAACAUAAAAUAUACAGGGAAAUUCCUUUUAAUAGACUCUGCGAAUUAUCAUCACUAUUUAAACAAGAGUCAGAAAAAACGGAUAUACGAAUUUUUGUCUGCAAAAUAUACAAAUAUUUGGUUUUUUUUAGGAGUAUAAUAAUCACUUACCAUUUUUGUAUUUAUUAUAUCCUUUUAACGGAUAAAGACUCCUUUAAUCAUAGCAUAAAAUACGAAAG